rnacentral:rRNA from 1 species
UACGUAGGGUGCGAGCGUUAAUCGGAAUUACUGGGCGUAAAGCGUGCGCAGGCGGUUGUGCAAGACAGGUGUGAAAUCCCCGGGCUUAACCUGGGAACUGCGCUUGUGACUGCACGACUAGAGUACGGUAGAGGGGGGUGGAAUUCCUGGGUGUAGCAGUGAAAUGCGUAGAUAUCAGGAGGAACAUCGAUGGCGAAGGCAGCCCCCUGGACCUGUACUGACGCUCAUGCACGAAAGCGUGGGGAGCAAACAGG